CCUACGGGAGGCAGCAGUAAGGAAUAUUGGUCAAUGGACGGAAGUCUGAACCAGCCAUGCCGCGUGAAGGAUGACUGCCCUCUGGGUUGUAAACUUCUUUUAUCUGGGACGAAAAAAGGGCUUUUUAGCUCACUUGACGGUACCAGAGGAAUAAGCACCGGCUAACUCCGUGCCAGCAGCCGCGGUAAUACGGAGGGUGCAAGCGUUAUCCGGAUUUACUGGGUUUAAAGGGUGCGUAGGUGGGCAGGAAAGUCAGUGGUGAAAUCUCCGGGCUUAACCCGGAAACUGCCAUUGAUACUAUUUGUCUUGAAUACUUUGGAGGUAAGCGGAAUAUGUCAUGUAGCGGUGAAAUGCUUAGAUAUGACAUAGAACACCAAUUGCGCAGGCAGCUUACUACACAGUAAUUGACACUGAGGCACGAAAGCGUGGGGAUCAAACAGGAUUAGAUACCCUGGUAGUCCACGCCCUAAACGAUGGAUACUCGACAUUAGCGAUAUACAGUUAGUGUCUGAGCGAAAGCAUUAAGUAUCCACCUGGGAAGUACGAUCGCAAGAUUGAAACUUAAAGGAAUUGACGGNUUGAGAGNGCGACGGACGACGACGAGGAGGAGG
rnacentral:rRNA from 1 species